UUCAAUUGACACGUGUAGAUUUUUUUAGUGUUUUGGUUUCACCUUUUAGAAUACCUAUUUAUGUCUCGUCUAAAUUUUAAGUCUGCUAAUUGCAGAAAUAUUAGUAAAGUAUCUACAGUAUAAGAAACCUAAUCUAUGUAUGUAUGUAUAUGAGACUUGAUACACUCUUAGUAGCUUGGUGUCAAAUUCUGAGAUUGCACUGACACUGUCGGUCGGUGUCAGACUCAAUUCAACUACCGGUGUCAAAAUUUGACACCGAUGCUGACACCAUGACGGAAAUCCAACGUCACCCCGACGGUGACAACAGAUUGAGUGUAAACGGUGAGGAUUUGACACCGUUCUGUGUUAAUAUCCUUAUCUCAUUUCACACCUGAUCGUGUCAAGCUGUGUACUGUAUACAUUAACAUAAUGGUUGUGUUAAAUCCAACACCGUCUUGUGUCGCCUUUCUCACUGAAAAGUGUUGGGGGGGACGCCGCGGGAUUUUUGUCAGUUUCCACCUCCGAGCCGGCUGAACGAUGGAGGAAUUAAUUCUCCAAUUUUUCUCGUGAAAAAAAACUAAUUUUUUUGGUGUGGAUUAUUUCAACUAGCAGUGAAAAUAAAUAAUAAAUAAACGCCAACGUUCUUAUCAUUGUACAGGAUCAAGAGUGGAUGGGGAGGUUCAAACCGAGGUGAGUUGGGAUUCCUAAAGUUAAAUUUCUAAUUCUUUUCCAUCCGAACUCAAGCAAGGCGAAUAAUAGGAUGGGAAUUUUGUUAUUGACCGUGGGGAAUGAUCCGGCAAAGCGGAAGAAUUUUUUCGUUACGCGUUGGAAGCCGAUAAUCGGAAUUUCCCAGCAUUGCUACAACUCUUGCAGACCUACAUCGCCAACCCCGGUCAAGAAUCGGGACGCCAUCAAAGAAAUAUUUGAACGAGGCGACCAAGAUUUCUCGGAUGAACGGGCUGCCAUUUUUACGUUCAGAAGGGAUUGUUUGUCACCAUGUGGAAAGAAUACGAGGAACCGUUUAAAUUCUGGGCGAUGGGUUAUCAGAAAAAUAGUGCUUGUUUGGAGUUAGAUUUACAGAAACUGAUCUUCUUUAAGAAUUGUUAGUUAAAUUUCCUAAUUCCUUUGCACACCCAUAGACAGCUGGAAACUCUACAUCAUCUGGCCAUUCAUCCUCAUUUUGUUGAAAAAUCCAUGCCGCGACAAUUAAUUUGCAGUUAAUCAAUAUUUUGGAAUCAACAAUCGCACAAGAUGCAAGUUUACAAGAAUUGUUCCUGGAUUGCAACACGAAGGGAUUUUCAGCAAUGCCGGUUCUUCAAUUUUGACAAACUCGUUUGUAAGAAAGUUGAUUGAGCUCAGAGGGUAAGGAAAGUAAUAAGCAUGAUUGUCUUAUAACUAUUUCAAAAUUGUUAAUAUUAAGUUAAAUAUUUGAUAUUUUAUUGUACAAUGUAAUAUUAUUCAAUAUUAUAUGUAACUUUUGUUAGGUUAAAUAUUUAUAAGAAAAAUUAAUUAAUAUAUGUUUUUAAAUAAAGGAAACAUUUAUAACCGUA